rnacentral:tRNA from 1 species
CCGUUCGCUCUUCCCGAAGUGAGCGAAUUGCAUGUAGAGAUCCGUAUGGGCUUAUAGUUUAAUUGGUUGAAACGUACCGCUCACAACAGUGAUACUGUAGGUUCGAGCCCUACUAAGCCUAC